UAUUCUGUAAGUUUUUUUGAACGCAACAUUGAAGCUGUUGAAGGCUAAGAAUAA
rnacentral:tRNA from 1 species